CCCAGCAGUGGGGAGGGAACAGGUCCCCGACCGCCUCUGCCCCAUCCCCGGGCCCCAGCAGUGGGGCGGGGACAGGUCUCCGACCGCCUCUGCGGCGGCGAAGCGGGAGUGGCACUGCCUCGCCUAGUACCGAGGGCGGUGCGGGACAGCUGUGCCAGGUGAAAACCACUCUCAUAUGACCAAAAUAGUCAUCCAGGACAAAAGCUCAGACUGCCGAGGUCUCAACCCCCUGUGCAGAACUCUUGCCAGAGAGACUACCUGAGAUAUUGUCAGAAUCUAGCAGCUCGACAAUGCUGUACGGAGAACAAUCUUCCAAACCCAGCUUGCUGCAGAGCCAGCCACAGAAGCCCUUCUCCAUAUCCCUGACAGCACGCCACCAGUACCCAAAGGACCAUGCUACCUGGGCCACAGCUGAGUACAGGCCUAAGGAAAAAGACACAACCAUAAUUAUAAUUGGGUAGAAGAUGAUCAAAAAAGGACAAAACGUGAUUUUGUGCCAGAAGGUCCUCUCUUCAUUGUACACCAAGAAGAUGUUGUACCAUGUAAUGGUUCCAUAGUAGAAUGAAACCACAAAGGACACUACAAAAAUUACGGGGAGGCAGAUGAUGGUCCAGAGGAUGAUGUGGGGUCCUCUGUCCAGCCCAACAUCACAUUUCUUCUUCUCGGGUACAUCCUCUUUAGGCGGUUCCUUUGACUUAGCCAGUUCUUGCAGCUCUUUGUCCGUUAAUGUGACAUGGAUGUCCACCAUCUGACCCUUUUUCUUUCCCCUGGUGAUUGUUCCAGUCAAGGUGACAUAUCGGCUGUCUAAAGGCAUGUUCCAGACACCUAUGAAUACAGACAAACUCAUCUAUA